GUCAUUGUGCAUGUUUAAUGAAUCACAUCAGAGUCAAGACUGUGAAAAAACAACCUUGCAAAGGGUGUUUUUAAAAGAAUAAACCAUCAUUAGAAUCCUUACAACACAAACGCCACCCAAAAGAGGUCGGCUCUCUGCUUUCAGAGUGUUAUGGACCCAAUUUUAACUGUUCUCAAGCGCAGGACUCUGCUUCACACAAUCAUGAUGCCUUCUUGUCCCAGCGUUAUCGGCAAGAUGCGAAGCUGCAGCUCCUCCGUGGCUGGGUUUGGCGGUGGUUACCGACUGAUAAUGGGUUUCACUGGCUGAGUGUGACCCCCGCUCCGGCUGAACAGUCUAGACAGCAAGUCUCACUGCCAAGCCCAGCG
ensembl:lincRNA Gm28942 predicted gene 28942